rnacentral:lncRNA from 1 species
CAAUCAGGAUUCAAUGCCAAAACUUGGUCCUAUUGCUAUAUAAAUACCACAGAAUUCUACGUAAAUAGGACACACACAGAGAAGAAAAGAGAAAAAAAACACGAAAAAAAAUCAAAGAGAAAAAUCACACGCAAAAAAGAGAGAACCAAAAUUAAGACACAACUAGGAAGAAGCUUCAAACACUUCCACCUCCACCGGUCCUAGAAGUAUCUCGCAGCAAAAAUC